CUCUGUGUGUGUGUCUGAGUGUCUGUGUGUGUGUCUGUUUGUGUGUCUGUCUGCAGGCUUAGCAUGUGCUUGCUUUGGGGAGUUGGCUCUUUCUAGUGUGGGUCCUAGAAUCAAACUUAAGUUGUCAGAUUUUUCACAGCAGUGCCUUUGCUCACUGAGCCAUCUCGCUGGCCCGUUUUUCUUCUUUUUUACUUUUGUAUUACAUUUUCCCUGUUAUGAACAAAAGCUAAAAUACUAGUGUGAGAAUUCCGAGCCUCCUCCCCAGACAGAAACCAAUGAUGUCAUUCUCCCCCGAGCUUGAGCUUCCACUUUCAAAACACUCAACAAUCCAGACUGCCUGCCUUCUCUAAUGGGAGCCCCAGGAGAGCCUGGGUCAGGCUUCUCUGUUCACUUCCCCAGGGCAAUGGUCGCCUGGCUCCCCCGCGAGGCUCAGCACCAGAUAGCACAGGUGCCCUGAAGAUAUUUACAAGUGAGCCGUCCACAGCAGCAGCUUCUGGAACACACGGGUGGCUAGGCCUUCCUGCCUGUCACAGACAAUGUUUGAAGGACAACCACAUCUUGUAUUUGCAUUCUCCACGGAGCCUUCAAGUGCCGAAACACUGAGGGAAGGCCGUCUGUGCCGUGGUAACUGUGUCACUAUGGACUCUGUGGUAUAGGAGGUGGCUCUGGCCGUUGGCCUUUGAAGAUGAAGUUCUCCUUUUCCAGAUGGUUCUCACAUAGGGCGGCAGGGGAUUUCUCAUUGCUACACCUUCCACCCUUGCCACCAGGCAGCCCAGCCAUAUUAACUCAGAAGAUCCAUAAAAGGGCAGGAGCCCAUGGUCCAUCCCCUCUGCUUGAAGAUGUUAUUAGUUAGUUAGAGCUGUGCUAGGACGUAGGACUGACCUUGGGAAGGGGCGCUGGUGUGUCAGCUCACACACCCAGCUUGCAGGGGAGGCUGGCUCACGAACCACCCUCAGGGUGACCUUGGAGGUUUGCAGGCUCAGCUACCAGGGCACCUAGACCCAUACCUGUUGGGAAAUGGUAAUUUCCAUACUUAGAAGGCAGACAGUUUAUGGAGGCAACACAGAGACAUGAAGGAGUACACUGAGCUGUCUCCCGAAGGGACCUCAAGCGCAGGUCACAUCCCUUCCUUUCUGAUUAUGACUGAGUUCUGGGUCCCACCAAGGAUAGAACUCCCCUUCCUUGUUGGCUAUGAAAAUUUCUUAAUGUCUCUAAAUCCCAAGUUCCCCUAUGGCCACAGCCCUUCUUCCAACCAAGAAUGUUAAGGGAUAGAGAUGUAGCUCAAUUGGUAAGGUGCUUGCCUAGCAUGCACAGAAAACCUCUGGUUCCCUUUUGCAAUGCUUCAAAAACCAGGUGUGGUGGUGCAUUCUUGUAAUCCCAGUACUUGGGGACAUGUGGGCAGGCUGCAUCCGAAUCCGUAGUCACCACAUCCAAAUCCCUUGUCUCCAGGGUCCUGUCCUCUGGCUCUGGAAAUGUGUUGCUAGGAUGUAAUCUGUGCUGAGUCUCCAGUUGGACCUACAAUGACUGUCCCAAGCCGCAUUCAAUGAGAAAUAGCACAAGCAGAUCAGAAGUCAAGAAAGUGCAGGCUCUUGGAGGAACAAAGGCCUAGGAUGAAAGGUAAUCCUAGGUCCAUUCCAAAGGGGGCACUGGGCUUCUCGGAGCCUGCUCGGAGCCUACUCAACACAUUAGUCUAGGGAGCGCUGAAGAUUCCCCCUUGCUGAUCUUGACAGCACACACCUGUAAUCCUAGCACUUAGGAGAUAGAGGUGAGGCAGGGCGCUCAAGAGUUCAAAGUCAUCCUCGGCUACAAAGUGAGUUUAAGGAUAGAUAGCCUGGGCUUCAGACUUGAAAUCCUUUCUCCAAACAAACAAACAAACAAACAAACAAACAAAAAGCUGUUUAGGCCCACAUGCCGCGUUUCUGAUUGCCCUACUUCCUUUUCUGAUAUCACCGGCAGGGCUCCCAGAUGUUCCUUUUGAGCCAACUGCGUCUUCAUUGAGGUCCCUGAUUGUCAUUCUAUCAUUCCCCCAACUUUGUGAGAGACUCCUUGAGUACUAAAUGUGUAAGUCCCCACAGUGCCCACAUGCCAGGCACAUGCCAGGCACAUGCCAGGCAUCUUCCAGGCAGGGGCCAUCAUUAGGCCGGCUGUGUCUCAUUGAAUCUUCUCAAUAAGCUUUGGAAUAAGUCUUUUGUGGCUUCCUGUUACAAUUGAGGGAAUAGAUGGAGAGAGCUUCAUCAGCUUGCUCAAAUCCAUGCAACUCCUGAGUCGAGGAGCCAGGACUCAAAUCUCCAUCUCCUCUGCAACCGUGACCUCAAAAGUCCUAGUGUUGGAUUGCAGGAGUUUCACUUCUGUUUGCUGGGAUAAGCAGCCUGCUCUCUGGACUCUGUGGCCUUUUGAAAAUGGUACUGCCUCUGCAAUCUCUUCUUCAUCCUGCCCAAACCUAUCUAAUGCUUUACAGGAACAUAUGUGCCCAUGAGAGACACAAGCUUCCUACCAGCAGACACUAGCAUAUCUGCUGUGGGAAUUGAGGGGAUUCUUGAGUUGGGGCAGAUUCAAGAGCUUCUGGUUAUGCCAUCAACUCCACAAGUCGGGCAUUGUUAUGGUUUAUUUCUGCUACACUACGUCUGGGACCUCCCCUAGAGUGGCUGGAAAUAGUGGACAUGGUCCAAGUAGGGCUCUGUGCCUCCGUUCUGUCUGUGAGCUGGGUUUCUCUUCUCCCUGUGAUGCUGUCUGGGGCUCAGAUAAUUUGAAGUGGCCCUGGCACACAGGUCCCUAGUGCCUCUACCUCUCUCGGAAUAGUAGCCUCAUCUUAUGCUGUCUAGGCUAUCAGAGCCCACACUAUCUAUAUCCUUUUCCUAUACCCUCCACUUUACCUAUUCUACUUCUAGAAUAGGGCUUUAAUGGUCUAAUGUUCUGGCCAAAAUCACAAUGAAGGAGAAAAUUAGUGAGAAAGUUAUGAUACGGAGAAAAUCCACUCACUGUGGAAGAAGAGAAAAUAAACCUUUCUUUGGAACAGAGGAAAAGAAGAGAAUGCUUAGAGCAAGGUCAUGGCCUGUAAGCUACUACCCUACAACCCUGGAGCUCAAGUGAGCCCAUCUUCACAGUGAUGCAAUGUGUAUCACUGGACCAAGCUUGUAUUUUUUUGCUUUUGCUGUUGAUUGAUGUAGUAGUGGUCAUAUAAUUCAAUUCUACUAAUACACUUAUGGAGAGAUGUUUGGGAUCACCUUGAAUCCAUGAGGCAACAAGACCAAGGGGAGACAACCAGCAAGGGAUGACAGGACAGGUGAUGAGCAAAAGGAGCCUGGGGUCCCUGGUGGCACCAAUGAGUCACAAUGCCUACACUGGAACCGUCUCCUUCCAGCCUGAUUGCUGUGAAGUGAGUGUACUGUCUCCUGGAGCCUGAAACAUUCCUAAGCUCUUCAUAAAAUGUCCCUGUCCUCACCACAACCCUGUGGAUCUUUCUUACAGCUCUAAAUGGAGAAAACAACCCAGGUUGCUUUUCCCUCUAAGUGUUGGUGCAAGAAAACCUGCAUAGAUGAUAGGAAAUGGACAGGAAUGAAGGAAACCGUCCUGCAGUCUCUCUUCCCCCGUGGGUGCUCACGAACUGGGGUAGUUGAGUUUCUGUGAAAAUAAGCGGGGCGGGAGACAAAGAACACAACACCAAGUAGCUUUAUCAAGGUGUGUUUUUUACUAAAAUGAACCAAGAUAUAUAUAGCUAAGGCAGAACAAUCCUUCGGCUUUUAGCAUAGACGUGAGAAUAACAUUGCAGUCUGUAAACCACCCUUCAAGCAUGGGCUCCAGGCAGGGAAGCGGAUUACAAGUUUCAGUUCCUUUGAAGUCUCGCGGCUACCAGGUCUGUCUUUGAUCUCUGGUGCUGCCUCCGGUGAUUCACACGUGUCUCGCAGGGCAGAGCAGCGCAGCGGGACACCACACAGGAACGACAACAAUGAAAGGCAGGAUUCUUCACAGCCAAAAGGACAGCCCCAGUAAUUAGUCCCAACCCCUCACACCCAAUGGACCCAGACCAGGAAAGAUAAUUCUAGAAAUUUCCACAUGCCCAAGUCUUCUCAGACAGGGCUGAGGAAUAACUUUUAGAAAAAACAUUGGUGGGGGUCGAGAAAAGGGAGUAUACAUGCCUAAGGUCCAGAGCCCAAAGAGUGAGAAGCCAGGUUAGGCCAGGUGUGGAAAAAUUCUAAGACAGUGUCUAUAGCUGGUUGUUGUGCAAUAAUGAAUUGGAGCAAUUUGUUGUAGCCGGAGCCAGCGGGUGCAAAGGGGUCGUACUCAGGAGACAGCCUUGGUGUCGAUUGAAAAUGCUCCUCUUGGAAGGAGGGCAGUGCUAAAUGGUACCUGCUGCCCUGCUCUGUGCUCGGGCAUGGGCCAUCUUCCUUACCUCUCCUCCCUGCCCCUCCCUUUUUUCUUCUACCUUUUGUUCAAGUGAAGGCAGGAGCCAGAGGCACACACAGCCAACCUGAGUUCCUUUCAUGAAUCUAAGCAUUGGGGGACAAGGAGGCUAGGGAUUGGGCUCAGUUGGCAGAGUGCUUGCCUAGCAGGCACAAAGCCUGGCUUGGAUCCCCAGCACCACAUAGACUAGGUAUGGUGGUAGACGCUUGUAAUCAAUCCUACCCUUGGGAAGUGGAGGCUGGGGGAUAAGUCCAAGACUAUUGGAGAAGCUAAAUGUAAGGCCUGCCCCUUCCUCUUGGGAACUGUUUUCUAAAUUAAAAAAAAAAAGAAAGAAAGAAAAAGUCAGGUUUCUCCUGCUGUCUCAAGUGAGACUGACACAUACUCAUUACCCCAUUAUAAGCAAACUCGAAAAAGCUGCCCUGCCUCUGGUAUGUCUCAGAAUAACUACAGGACCCAGGCACAGAUGUGCUAAGUCAGAAGCUGUGACGCAGAUUCGGACACUAGCCCUCAGUACACACCUUGUGCACCCCACACGGUCUACGGAGCUGGGUCCAGAAUGUCAAGGCCAAUAACUCACCAGCAAAGUGAGUCUCAGCUUGUAAAGUGAACGAGGGAGAUGUGUCUCCAGAGAGAAAGAAGUCAUGGCGAUUAAAUCUGGGCUUGGGGGCAAAAAAAUGAAACAUUUAAAUGUGUACCUUGUGAAAGAAUUAUACACACGCACACACCCACCCCACUAUCACCAGAUUUCGUGUGUAAGGUACUGUAGGUUGAACUCUGGACCUCACACAUUCUGGAAAGUACUCUCCCGCUGAGCCACGCCCCCAGCCCCUCACUGAGGAAUUCUGGGCAAGUGCUCUACCAUUGAGACAUGCUGUAGCAAUCUUUUGACUUGAUUUUGAGACAAGGCCUUACUGAGUUGCCUAGGGUGGCCUGAAUCUCACUCUGUAGCCCAGGCUGGCCUUGGACUCACAUUUUUCCUCCGGCUUUGCCUACCAAUCCACUGGGAUCAUAGAUUUGCCUCAUUAUACCAAGCUUCUGCUACAGCUGAUACCUUUAAACCAGUGUGUCUUCCCCUAGAAAGCCUCCCGUAGACAGCAUAGCUUAGUGUUCUCUUAAAUCCAAUGAAGAGAACAGCUGCUUUUCCCUGUUCCUCCACAUGAGGGCGCUCCACCACUCAGCUAUGGGGUGAUGUGUUCAAGCCUCUUCCACAAUCUUUAUGGGUGCAUUUCUGUGUGUUCUCUGAUGAGAAGCACUGGGGCAUCUCUGCAUGGUUUUUCUUGCCAGUUUCUCUUGUAGCUCUCUUCUUCGAGCAAACAAGCACAUUCAGCGCACCCUCUAUUUGUGCAUUGCCAUGGCCGUUCCUUGUGACUACUUUAGGAGCCAGAUGACUUUAGCUGAUUGAAUGAAUCAGUCUGAAAUGAAUGAGCUGAUACUGUCUGCAAGUUAGGAUUCUGACCAAAGGUUCCUUGAGGCUCUAGGGAAAGGGAUUAAUUGAGCAUAGGGCUUUUCUCCAGUGUGAAUUCUCUGACGUUGAAUGAGUUUCAUGAUCUUGAAAGCCCUCACAUGGUCAUUGUUGUUGGUAGGUUUCUGUUGUGCCCGGGAAGUAGCCAGAUUACACAGGAUGCUGGCUGACUCCUCCCACACUCUCAGGUGAAAGUUGCCCCAGUGUUAAGCAGGUCCCGAGUCUCUAAACUGCUUUGUGUUCACAGCAGUCGACAAUGUUCCGGCUGGUGCUAGUGUCACAGUGUUAAAUAAACUUGAUCCA